GGGCCCGCACAAGCGGUGGAGCAUGUGGUUUAAUUCGAUGCAACGCGAAGAACCUUACCUACUCUUGACAUCCAGAGAACUUAGCAGAGAUGCUUUGGUGCCUUCGGGAACUCUGAGACAGGUGCUGCAUGGCUGUCGUCAGCUCGUGUUGUGAAAUGUUGGGUUAAGUCCCGCAACGAGCGCAACCCUUAUCCUUGUUUGCCAGCGAGUAAUGUCGGGAACUCCAGGGAGACUGCCGGUGAUAAACCGGAGGAAGGUGGGGACGACGUCAAGUCAUCAUGGCCCUUACGAGUAGGGCUACACACGUGCUACAAUGGCGCAUACAGAGGGCAGCCAACUCGCGAGAGUGAGCGAAUCCCAAAAAGUGCGUCGUAGUCCGGAUUGGAGUCUGCAACUCGACUCCAUGAAGUCGGAAUCGCUAGUAAUCGUAGAU
rnacentral:rRNA from 1 species